AUUGAACGCUGGCGGCAUGCCUUACACAUGCAAGUCGAACGGUAACAGGUCUUCGGAUGCUGACGAGUGGCGAACGGGUGCGUAAUACAUCGGAACGUGCCCGAUCGUGGGGGAUAACGAAGCGAAAGCUUUGCUAAUACCGCAUACGAUCUACGGAUGAAAGCAGGGGACCGCAAGGUCUUGCGCGAACGGAGCGGCCGAUGGCAGAUUAGGUAGUUGGUGGGAUAAAAGCUUACCAAGCCGACGAUCUGUAGCUGGUCUGAGAGGACGACCAGCCACACUGGGACUGAGACACGGCCCAGACUCCUACGGGAGGCAGCAGUGGGGAAUUUUGGACAAUGGGCGAAAGCCUGAUCCAGCCAUGCCGCGUGCAGGAUGAAGGCCUUCGGGUUGUAAACUGCUUUUGUACGGAACGAAAAGACUCUGGUUAAUACCUGGGGUCCAUGACGGUACCGUAAGAAUAAGCACCGGCUAACUACGUG
rnacentral:rRNA from 1 species